rnacentral:rRNA from 1 species
AGCGAACGCUGGCGGCAGGCCUAACACAUGCAAGUCGAACGAACUCUUCGGAGUUAGUGGCGGACGGGUGAGUAACACGUGGGAACGUGCCUUUAGGUUCGGAAUAACUCAGGGAAACUUGUGCUAAUACCGAAUGUGCCCUUCGGGGGAAAGAUUUAUCGCCUUUAGAGCGGCCCGUGUCUGAUUAGCUAGUUGGUGAGGUAAUGGCUCACCAAGGCGCCGAUCGGUAGCUGGUCUGAGAGGAUGAUCAGCCACAUUGGGACUGAGACACGGCCCAAACUCCUACGGGAGGCAGCAGUGGGUAAUCUUGCGCAAUGGGCGAAAGCCUGACGCAUCCAUGCCGCGUGAAUGAUGAAGGUCUUAGGAUUGUAAAAUUCUUUCACCGGGGACGAUAAUGACGGUACCCGGAGAAGAAGCCCCGGCUAACUUCGUGCCAGCCGCCGCAGUAA